rnacentral:rRNA from 1 species
AACGAACGCUGGCGGCAUGCCUAACACAUGCAAGUCGAACGAAGGCUUCGGCCUUAGUGGCGCACGGGUGCGUAACGCGUGGGAAUCUGCCCUUUGGUUCGGAAUAACAGCUGGAAACGGCUGCUAAUACCCGAUGAUGACGAAAGUCCAAAGAUUUAUCGCCAGAGGAUGAGCCCGCGUUGGAUUAGGUAGUUGGUGGGGUAAAGGCCUACCAAGCCGACGAUCCAUAGCUGGUCUGAGAGGAUGAUCAGCCACACUGGGACUGAGACACGGCCCAGACUCCUACGGGAGGCAGCAGUGGGGAAUAUUGGACGAUGGGCGCAAGCCUGAUCCAGCAAUGCCGCGUGAGUGAUGAAGGCCCUAGGGUUGUAAAGCUCUUUUACCCGGGAAGAUAAUGACUGUACCGGGAGAAUAAGCCCCGGCUAACUCCGUG